UACGUAGGGGGCAAGCGUUAUCCGGAAUUACUGGGUGUAAAGGGUGAGUAGGCGGCAUGGUAAGCCAGAUGUGAAAGCCUUGGGCUUAACCCGAGGAUUGCAUUUGGAACUAUCAAGCUAGAGUACAGGAGAGGAAAGCGGAAUUCCUAGUGUAGCGGUGAAAUGCGUAGAUAUUAGGAGGAACACCAGUGGCGAAGGCGGCCUGCUGGACGACAACUGACGGUGAGGCGCGAAAGCGUGGGGAGCAAACAGG
rnacentral:rRNA from 1 species